rnacentral:rRNA from 1 species
UGGGGAAUAUUGCGCAAUGGGGGGAACCCUGACGCAGCCAUGCCGCGUGAAUGAAGAAGGCCUUAGGGUUGUAAAGUUCUUUCGGUAUUGAGGAAGGUUGAUGUGUUAAUAGCACAUCAAAUUGACGUUAAAUACAGAAGAAGCACCGGCUAACUCCGUGCCAGCAGCCGCGGUAAUACGGAGGGUGCGAGCGUUAAUCGGAAUAACUGGGCGUAAAGGGCACGCAGGCGGUUAUUUAAGUGAGGUGCGAAAGCCCCGGGCUUAACCUGGGAAUUGCAUUUCAGACUGGGUAACUAGAGUACUUUAGGGAGGGGUAGAAUUCCACGUGUAGCGGUGAAAUGCGUAGAGAUGUGGAGGAAUACCGAAGGCGAAGGCAGCCCCUUGGGAAUGUACUGACGCUCAUGUGCGAAAGCGUGGGGAGCAAACAGGGUUAGAUACCCUGGUAGUCCACGCUGUAAACGCUGUCGAUUUGGGGGUUGGGGUUUAACUCUGGCGCCCGUAGCUAACGUGAUAAAUCGACCGCCUGAGGAGUACGGCCGCAAGGUUA